rnacentral:tRNA from 7 species
GGGCCUCUAGCGUAAUGGUUAAGGCUUUCGAGUAGCACUCCAGAUAUCGGGUUCGAUCCCCCUCGGGGGCUA